rnacentral:rRNA from 1 species
AGAAUCAACGCUGGCGGCGUGCCUAACACAUGCAAGUCGAACGAGAAAGUGGGAGCAAUCCCACGAGUAAAGUGGCGCACGGGUGAGUAACACGUGACUAACCUACCCUUGAGUGGGGGAUAACCUAGGGAAACCUGGGCUAAUACCGCAUAAUACCUACGGGUCAAAGGAGCAAUUCGCUUUAGGAGGGGGUCGCGGCAGAUUAGUUAGUUGGCGGGGUAAUGGCCCACCAAGACAGUGAUCUGUAUCCGGCCUGAGAGGGCGCACGGACACACUGGAACUGAAACACGGUCCAGACUCCUACGGGAGGCAGCAGUGGGGAAUUUGCGCAAUGGGGGAAAUCCUGACGCAGCAACGCCGCGUGGAGGAUGAAGCCCCUUGGGGCGUAAAACUCCUUUCGAUCGGGAAGAUAAUGACGGUACCGGAAGAAGAAAGCCCCGGCUAACUUCGUGCCAGCAGCCGC